ensembl:lncRNA novel transcript
CCUUAGAUAGGUAACUGUUGCCAGGAAAAUGCCCUGUGUGGAUUGGCCUGGACUAAGCAGGAUCCUCCUCUAAAGAGAGAGAUGAGAUGAAUGCCUGACCCAAGUCUGGGAUCUUGGGUGGGAAGCGUGUGGAUAGUAGGUCAGAGGUCAGCAGUGUCUGUGGUGUAGGAUGUAAUCCCAUCUCCACAGAGCUGCAUACAAGUGUGUUUAAGUGUGUGCAAGUGAUUAACUUUGAUUAGUAGUUUCAACUCUUUACAAUGAACAUAUUUAUCUUUUUUAAAAAAUAAAGCCAUUUUAAAAGAUCUUGCCAUAAAACAAUCAUUCCUUAAGUCACCACUUAGGAUAGACCUAGAAUAUUUGUCCUUUCUCAAGAGCACCAGAGAGUUUUCUGGUAAUCCACGCAAUAAACAGUUAUAAAAGGUAAUUGUUGAGAUCAGGGGAAGAUGGCAGAUAGGAGGCAGUGCUAAUGUGUAGCUCCCACAUGGAUGGACAAAACACCAUGUGGAGACUCACACUGUGACCCUGUUGUGCUCCAAGAACUAUCAUAGGAACAUACUGGGAAAACCAAAAGAAUUCACGGAUCCUUUGAAAGAAGACGCACACCACUGUAAAUUCUGUGGAACAGGAGAAAAACUGUCUUGGAGGAAGGCAUCCUUCUAUUCUACUGAUCAGAAAGCUGGACAAAGUCCCACUGCCAGGCUACACAGUUGGUGCCAUUUGCGGAGGCCCACCCGCAGCGGUCACGUGAAGGACCGAGCGCCGCGCGCCCAGGCGGGGCCUCCGGCCUGCACGAGGAGGGCAGAGUCCGUUGCGGCUGCCGCCCCGACGCCCGCGCAUCCCCGCUCGCCGCGCCCGCCGCCGCGAUGUCCGGGGCCGGCCUAGCCGCGGUGGUGAGCUGCCUGCGCCCGCAGCCCGGCGAGGAGCCGCAGACCCAUGAGACCUUCUGCCAGAAAGUGGGCCUGCUGUGCACGCUUCAGGGUAAGCUGCAGCCCCAGGACUGGACAUUGUUGGACGAACUGCUGCAGGGCCUGCAAACACUGCUGCUCAUGAUUUUGUGGCAGGCUUCCCGUGGCCUCUUCCUGCACUACCACGUGGAGGCCCUAACCCUGCGUCGCAUCAGUAGCUUCCGCCAGUACAAGUAUGACCUGGUGGCAGCGGGCAAGGCUUUGGAGGGCAUGUUCUGCAAGCUCAACCACCUCCUGGAACACCCGCACCAGCUGUUCUUCCUCUACCUGCUCCCCACUCUGUCCCGCUUCGUCUCCAUCGGCCUCUACAUGCCCGCCACCAGCUUCUUGCUCCUGGUCCUUGGUUUCAAGGCUCUGCAACUGUGGAUGCAGCUGCAUGAGGCCGGAGUGGGCCUUGAGGAGCUCAGGGGGGUCCCUGACCCUAGUGUCCCCCCUCCCCCAGCACAGGAUGGUAAGCACACAGGUCCCAGACAGGGGCUGGAUGGCUCUGAAGCUGGUAGCCCUGAUCUACCUAAUACUGCAGCUGGGCUGCAUCGCCCUCACCAACUUCUGACUGGACUUCCUGCUGGCCGCCACUAUGGUGCUGCCGCUGUGCUCGCCGAGCCUUUGGGCCCUGGACCCUCUGUGCUGUCCUGCUGGUGUUGACAAGCCCGGCAGCCACGCUCCUUGGCAGCCCAUUCCUGUGGCGGGAGCUGCAGGAGGCACCACUGUCACUGGCCAAGGGCUGGCAGCUCUUCCUGGCAGCACUGGCCCAGGGUGCGCUGGAGCACCACACCUAAGGCGCCCUGCUCUUCCCACUGCUGUCCCUGGGCCUCUGCCCUUGCUGACUACUUUUCUGGAAUGUGCUCUUCUGGAAGUGAGAUCUGCCUGUCCGGGGCACCAGGCUGGGACAGAGACUCCCCAAGGACCCCAUUCUGCCUCCUUCUGGGGAAAUAAACAAGUGCCUGUUUCAGCUGCUUUAAAAAAAAAUAGAAAAAAAAAAUGCCCUGGAAAA